AUUGUUCUUAAGUUAAUGUAUCCAUAAGUUGGGUUCGAAGACAAGGCAACGGUAGCCCAUAACAUCAUGCAGAUUGCUCGUUCCCAUUCUUAUUUGUAUAUUUGGUAGAGUUUACCUCCCAAUAUUGCUGUAAUGUUUUCCUAACGCUUAAUGGAUUGAUUACUUAAAAAAAAAGAAGACACUGGACUUUUUAUUAUUUAUGAAUUAAUCUUAUUUGAUAU
rnacentral:lncRNA from 1 species